UUGGCUUUAACUACUUCGAUGGCAAUUUCCGCUUCGGCAGCACCUGUGGGAAGAAUGACUCUGGAAAAUCCAACGGGACACACCCUGGCCUCUACAAAAGGGUCCCUCAGUGCCUGACCCCUUACUUCCUGCCAGGCUUGUGGAAGAAGGAGCAGGUGAAUGGACUGCAGGACCCACUGGCGAAGGUCCUGCUGCAGCCUUACAGGCUCCCAGCCUUGUUCAGGAAGGGGGUGAAGAAGGUGUGGGGGCUGCUGGAAGGUGUCAGCUCCCUGGUACAGCGACUACACAAGCUCCUCCAUACCCUGGUGCCUGGUUUGCUUAAGACAGCCGUGGACAGGAGGAGGUGAGGGGCUGGGGGGCUGCAGACCCUCAGCAUAAACAGAACAGUGUGCAGA